CGUUAGAUGGCGAUUAAAAAGAGACUGUUCAUAAGUUCAUCUAAUAUGAAUAGUUCAUUCAAUUGGCGAACACACUAAGAACAGCAUUGGCGACUGUCUCUUCGCUAGGAGAUAUCGUGAUAACAGCUUUAAUGCUUCUAGAAACAUUUGUGUAAGGAGAAUUUUUACCAAAAAAGAAAAAAAGAAAGACAAAAAAAAAAGAAGUAAAACUUACAUCGUAAGUAAAAGUAAAAAAAACGAAACCGAUACUGCGACAUCGAAAUGCAUCUA